GGCACCACAAAAUAGAAGCUCAUUCUAGUCUGCAUUUAAUUGGAUAUGCAGGGUAUUUUCAGCUUCAGAACCUCUUACCCUGAUAGCCUUGGGGGUUUGUUUGGCCAACAUUUGCCUUUAAUCCCCAAUGGGUGGAAGUACAAAUGACGGGUACCCAUUCUUAAAGUCGUGUUGCAGACACCUUGGAGACAUGCAGUUUCAGGUAAAUGGAGGCAGGGAUAUGCAAUGCCAUAAAAAAAAAAUAUAUAUAUUUGCAAUAUACAUCACUUCAGUUUCUAUAUAGACACGCCAUUUCACAUUCACAACCCCCAUGCCCUCAAAAUACGAAAAAAAAAAACCCAAGACUUGAGUGUACAAUUUAAAAUGUUUUAUCACAUAUAAUAGACUUCAAUUCAGCAGAUCCCUAAUAUUCAGGACACAAAUGCAGCAGAUUCUAAAUUUUGUUAUAAUAGAGAAAGCAUUUCCCCAGAUGUCAGUGUUACAUAUCAUAAAUAUCUGAUCUCUUAAAACACUAAAUGAAUAUCUGUACAAGCCCGUCCAUGAAAGAAAAGUGAGGGCGGAAGCAAAAGCCAGUUUGUAUUAUUUUUUAAAUUUUAUUAUUCGUUAAUUUGCUAGUGUCAACAGUGGACACAAUCCAUUUCUUAAAAGGUGUACUAUAAAACAGCCAAGUGGCUGUUACCACAGUGGCAUCUGGUACCUUAGAAUAAGCAUAUUUUCCACAGUUUACAGUUACAGUUUAUUGAAGUAUUUGUAGAAUUGUAUGGAUGUUGCAUGCAGAAAAUAAUAUUGCACUUCCACCAGCCAUCAUUUACAUGUGUUUUAUGUAAAAAACAAAACAAACGUAUUUGUGUUUAAAUAUAUACCAAGAAAUGGUGGGGAAAUAUUGUAAAGUUAGUGGAUAGUAAAAACAUUGUGAAACACAGAUCUGCAUACCAGUCAAGCCAUAAGACUUGCUUUUCACACAAAUCUCAAAUUUACAGUGAUAUACAGCAAACUAAGAAAUCCAUGUUUAAAAUGGAAUGAGGCAAAUAUGUGAUUUUUUUUUUUUAAACUAAUUUGCAGAAGCAACAUCACUUAAUUUGAGAUUUGUGUGUGAAAAGCAAGCCUUAUGGCUUGACUGGUGUGCAGAUCUGUGUUCAACAAUGUAUUGACUAAAAAAA